CCUACGGGCGGCAGCAGUGGGGAAUAUUGCACAAUGGGGGAAACCCUGAUGCAGCGACGCCGCGUGAGUGAAGAAGUAUUUCGGUAUGUAAAGCUCUAUCAGCAGGGGAGAGAAUGACGGUACCUGAGUAAGAAGCCCCGGCGAACUACGUGCCAGCAGCCGCGGUAAUACGUAGGGGGCAAGCGUUAUCCGGAUUUACUGGGUGUAAAGGGAGCGUAGACGGCGAAGAAAGUCUGAAGUGAAAGCCUGCGGCUCAACCGCGGAACUGCUUUGGAAACUUUUUUGCUGGAGUACCGGAGAGGUAAGCGGAAGUCCUGGUGUAGCGGUGAAAUGCGUAGAUAUUAGGAGGAACACCAGUGGCGAAGGCGGAUUACGGGACGGUAACUGACGUUGAGGAUCGAAAGCGUGGGGAGCAAACAGGAUUAGAUACCCUUGAGUC
rnacentral:rRNA from 1 species